GUGUUUCAACAGGUAAAGAUAAAGUACAACAUUCUGAAAAUAGUGAAUGAUGUGACAAAGGCUAAGGUGGAAAGUGUGGAGGAUGUCUACAGAAGAGUAAGUAGUGACUAGACUGGAAUAUGAGAAGGAAAAGAAAUGUUAUGAGACUAAGGGGCAAAGUAUAGUUGAAGAUAGAGGGCCUUUAAUGACAAGCAAAGAAAUUUAAAAUAAUUAGUAAACAAUGGGGAGUCCUGGAAAGUUUUUUGAGCUGGGAAGUGACAUCAAACUGCAAUAAGGAAAUUAAUUUAACAGUGGUAAUUGGAUCACAAAAAUAUAGUUUAAGAAUCCAAAAAAGAGGCUAUUGCAAUAGUCCUAGAAGUGAUUACAGACUUUCUUAGUGGUGAUGAGAGUAUCAUAGAUAACUAAUAUAUUAAGGUGUGUAGCAAGGGAAUUGUGCAAGGUUGACUGACAGCCUUCAAACCAAGAUUCUACAGAGCUGUCUGGGUCAGCAUUCUAAGACAGGUGGGCAACUGGCAACUGUCUCUCUCAAGCUGGGUGGCAGACAGACUGUGUGUCAAAGUGUCUCCCUGAAGAAACCAACUGUGGAGCUGCCAAGGACUUGGGUUAUCUUUUCAAAGGUUGAGUCAGUGUUCCCUUACACACUGGUGGACUGUGUGAAUGGGUGUGAACCUCCUCCCUUCCUGGACCUUGUGAGGACCCUACAUCUUGAUUCUGCAGUUUGACCCAACCAAGGAUCUAGGAGUUAUGAGGAAACUGAGACCUGGUGAAAUCACCAAGUGAGAGUAAUGAUGGAGAAAAGUUACAGAGAAAUAUGGAGUUGAAACAAAAUUUAUUAUGCCUCAGUUGAACACAGAAAAUCAAGGGGAAGAAGUAUUUCAGAACAAAUGUGCCCACAACAUUGGAAUAGUCAGAUGAAAAUGUAACUGGGAGUUGUUUAACAAAAUGAAAAUGUAAUAGCACGUAAGUCAUAUUACUUUAAAAUUAAGUCAGUAUGUAACUUGCAGAGAUCCUUUUGUAUGGAUGGGCUGACCCAUUUCUGUUUGAGUUUGAUAUCACUGUUCCAUAUAACCUCUCACAUACUGAAAUUCAUACCUUUCUAGCUGAGUAUUCAAAUGUUUUGUUAAGACUGCAAACUGUGCUUAGGCAAGAGUGAAUAGAAUAGAGAAUGUAAACAAAGAAUUCAAUUAAAGCUAGAACGUAAUAGCAAGGCUGACCUUUUGCAAACUAUCUGAAUAAUUCACCCACGAUAAUAAAUGAUUGGCUAAUAUCAUUGCUUUGACAAAUGCUUCCAUCUGAACAUACUGUAUUUCGAAUAUUCACAACAAACAUAAGAGAUACAUUUUUAACAUUGAGACAUCUUGUCUAAAAUUUUGAAGUAACUGGGUGAAAGAGAUUGGCUAUAACUUCUAGUCCCUGGUAACCUAAAAUUGUGAUUUAAAUUAUGCUGGUUUAAAUACAAUAAUAAUUAAACUAAAUUGUUUCUCCUUGGAAAAUAACAUAAUAAUCAUCAAAUGCUAGUUAUUAAAAACCUUCACUGACUUAAUCCUGUACUACACGGUAUGGCUACUUUUAAAAAUGA